GGCAAACAGAGAGCCAGCUGCUGAAUACAAACAGUUCUGCUUGGAGGUGGUGGAGGAGCACAGGAGAGGCAGAACAUCUGGCUGAAGUCCAGUAUAAAGGAACAUAUAAUGAUGAACAGAAGUUAUUAUCAUCUCACAUGAAUUGGUUGACCAGAUGAAAGGAGGACAGGUAUAGA